UGUUUUGUGUUGUGGAGUCCAUGUUUUUAAGCAUCCCUGGAAUUUUCAAAGUUUUAUUACAUUCACAGUACCUUUAUUUUUAGUUUUAGCCUGUAUGAAGACCUGCUUGGGCUAGCAUGUGAACAACUAAGUACAUACCUUUUAACUGAGGUGUUCAGGGGUUAUAAACCCAUUCUUUCUCCUCUAUUUUCCUUGAACCAAAAAGAGAUGAAAA
rnacentral:misc_RNA from 1 species